rnacentral:rRNA from 1 species
ACUCCUACGGGAGGCAGCAGUGGAGAAUCUUGUCCAAUGGGCGAAAGCCUGAGACAGCCACGCCGCGUGCGGGAAGAAGGCCUUCGGGUCGUAAACCGCUUUCAGGAGGGAAGAAGCGAGAGUGACGGUACCUCCAGAAGAAGGACCGGCUAACUACGUGCCAGCAGCCGCGGUAAUACGUAGGGUCCGAGCGUUAUCCGGAAUCAUUGGGCGUAAAGCGCAUGUAGGCGGCCAUGUUAGUCGGAUGUGAAAUCCCAGGGCUCAACCCUGGAACUGCAUCCGAUACUGCAUGGCUUGAGGAAGGUAGAGGAGAGUGGAAUUCCCGGUGUAGCGGUGGAAUGCGCAGAUAUCGGGAGGAACACCAGCGGCGAAGGCGGCUCUCUGGGCCUCUCCUGACGCUGAGAUGCGAAAGCGUGGGUAGCGAACAGGAUUAGAAACCCCAGUAGUCC